UACAGAGGGGGCAAGCGUUGUUCGGAAUUACUGGGCGUAAAGGGCGCGUAGGCGGCCCGCUAAGUCGAACGUGAAAUCCCCGAGCUCAACUCGGGAACUGCGUCCGAUACUGGCGGGCUUGAAUGCGGGAGAGGGAUGCGGAAUUCCAGGUGUAGCGGUGAAAUGCGUAGAUAUCUGGAGGAACACCGGUGGCGAAGGCGGCAUCCUGGACCGGCAUUGACGCUGAGGCGCGAAAGCGAGGGGAGCAAACGGG
rnacentral:rRNA from 1 species